AAAUACAAGGCCAAAGAGGUUUAAAACUACAUAUAUUUUGCAGAAACAGAAACAGAUUGACUUGUGUUCUUUAUUUAUUGAUAUAAAUGUCCAUAGAAACUGUCCAACAGAAGCAAACAGAUUCUCAUAUGCAUUAUAAGCAGAUCAAACUUGGACGAAAUCGAAAACAGAACAUCAAAGAUGAAGCCUUUUCAGUUUUCAUUCCUCCAUGUGGAUUAUGCAACGAAGACCUUCCCCUUUAAGCAUGUACUCAAAUGCCUUGUUGAUUUCUGAGAACGGGACUUUGUGGGUGAUGAAUUUCUCUAGCUCCAGUUCCUGCACCAUUAAUUUAAUUUAAUUGUUGAGUGUUCACCAAAUUAAAAUUUGGGAAAACAUGGAAGCAAAACAUGAAUCAAAAUUAGCCUUUUACCUUGUUCAUGUACUUCUCCACGACAGAGGGAAUGUCCGUUCGAGUCUUGUAGUUUCCGAAGAAUGUACCCUUGAGAGUCCUCUCAUUCAGAAAGUUAACCGGAUGCGUCUUGAAGACGGCAUCUUUGUGUGGUACUCCCACAAGAACAGCAACAACCCAACCCUGAAAUAGCAGUUUAAUUAUGUGUUUACUUGUUAAUAAAUAAUAUCCCGUUGAAAUUUGAAAGAGAGAUUUUUUUUGAAAAUGGAGGCAGAGAAGAAGCUAUAGUAUUACAUCAUGGACACAUUCAAAUGCAGAUAUCAUGAAUUCAACGCUUCCUGUACAUUCAAUGCUUCUGUCCACUCCUCCAUUCGUCAACUCAGCAAUCACCUCUUGAACUGGUUUUUUGUGCUCUCUUGGGUUCACGAAUUCUGUCACGCCAAACUUUUUUGCUGCAAACAACCAAGUUAAAAUUAAGAGAAGUCUCGAGAAUAUUUGUCAACUCAAAAAAAUGAUUAAUGAACUGAAGAAAAACAUAUUCCUCCCCAUUGUUCUAUUUUUGAGAGAUUAUAGGAAUUGUGUUUGUUACCUUCUUCAAAUCUGCCCGAAUGCAAAUCAACACCGAUAAUUCUUGAAGCGCCAGACAACCUGGCUCCUUCAGCAGCCUAAAAAAAGAAGGAUCGACUUAGACACACAUUUUUCAUCAUACAUAGACAAGUGAGCAAGCAAGUGAAAGUGACUAAAAGACUCACUGCAAGGCCUACAGCUCCCAAUCCGAAAACAGCCACGGUUGAUCCCUUUUUCGGUUUUGCAACAUUUAGAGUAGCUCCGAGACCUAAACAAUACACAUUCAAAAAACUAAAUAAGAAAAUGAUAUCAAUUACACAACUUGUAUCCUUGAACAAUUUGGCUCUACAGUAAUAAACAAUUUACCUGUGGAGAUUCCACAACUGAGGAGACAGACUUUGUCUAGAGGCGCCGAGGGAUUGAUCUUGGCAAGGCAGCCAACGUGAACAACAGUGUACUCGCUGAAGGUGGAAGUUCCAACAAAAUGGUAGAUAGGCUUGCCUUUGAUUGAAAAUCUUGAUUUUCCAUCACUGAGCAUCACUCCCCUGUCAGUGUUUAUCCUGAGGAGGUCACACAUGUUGCUCUCUUCUGAUUUGCAGUGAGCGCAGUCCUUGCAUUCCCCUGUGAACACCGGCAGGACAUGAUUGCCGGCUUUCAGAUCCGUCACGCCCUCACCAACACUCUCCACAAUCCUAAAAGUAUUAACCAGCAAUCCGCAUAAGUUAUAAUUCAUGAUCAAUGAUUCAAUUGUGCAUAGUCUGCCUAUGUGUUUUAUUAAUUUGGUAACAAGAUUAUAGAAAUGUACAUACCCUCCUGCCUCAUGACCAUAAAUUCUAGGAAAUAAAGGGUUUUGUCCCUGCAAUAUAGAAAACCCAUUUUAGAUUUGGUGUUGUAAAUAUGCGAAUCUUGAAUCAAUAAAAUGAAAUAUGCUUGGGAGUAAAAUGAAAAGCAAUGAUCAUUUUUCAAAUCCAAAUUACGUAAAUCAUCGGUUAUGUCAUCGAUAGUCGACCGCACUAUAUCAUUAAUAUUUGAUUUUGAUUAGUUCUUAAUCGAAAUUCAAAAAUGGUCAUUCCCGCGAAUUUCUCAAAACAAUGUCAUACCUUGGCUUCCCAGAAGUAGACAUCAGUGUGGCACAAAGAGGUAAAAAGGAUCUUUAUGCGAACUUCAUUUGCUUGUGGUGGUGCCACCUCAACUUCUUCAAUCACCAGUGGCUUCCCUGCUUCCCAAGCUACAGCAGCUACACAAACCAGAAAUAAUAAUAGAAUUAAUAAACCAAAAAUUAAAUAAGAAACCCUUCAAUUAAUAAAUAAUCUCAGAAACAAAAAGGAAAUUUACCUCUGCAGCGUAUGACCUGACCAGCAGUAUUAGACAUUCUUGCUUUGAAUCCAAUAAAAAACUUGAUGAAAUUGAAAUCUUAAAGGCUUUUUGUAGAAAUAAAGGCACCUUGUGUGGGUAUUUAUAUAUGCAUAAGGGCAAGUGGAGGCCGAAUUACUUUAUUAAAUAACUGUUGAUUGUCCCAGAUUGGACUUUUUAAUUUGCAACUAUAUUAUAUGAUAUACCAGACGCAAAACCAAAACCAUUCCCUGGUUUUACGUGCUGCAGCUUGAUACUAGGAAGGAAUGAGCAACGGUUAUGACGGACGGGUAAUCACGAUUAUUUACCCAUAACCGUUUAUGUUUAUACCCACAUAACUGUUUACCCGUUGGGUAAUUGCCUAAAUACGGUUAUACUCAUACCAAUAACCAUUUAUAAACGGUUAACCAUACCCAUAACCGCAUACCCAUUUAACUGUAACCGUUUAAUACCCAUUUACCCUUUUUAACCCGUUUAUCUUUUUUUUUUUUUUACCAUUAUGCAUUUUUCACUUGUCUACAUGUUUUUUAACAACUUGAAAAUUAAAAAAAUUUGCCAUAAUUUUCUUUUUUAUGACAUUUAAACAUCGUUAUAGGUACAUUCAUCAUACAUUUCCGUAUUUUAAUUUUUUAAGUCCUUAUACCAUUCCAAUAAUUGAAAUAAUAGUUUGCGGACGAUAUUUUUAUCUGUUACCAAUGAAGGUAAUAUAAUAUUUGCUAAGUAUUCUUGGGUUACGAAAACUGUUUAGAAGACAAUAUUCUUGGGUUAUUUAACCCAUAAUGUAAAGUAUUAAUAUAAUAUAUAUAAUGAGCUACAUUAUAUUAUAAUUAACUAUAUAAACCAUGCACUAUAGUCAAUAGCAUUGAUCUAAGUUUUGUCCGAUAGAGAAUAUGGUUUGUGUUAAUUUUACAUAUAUAAAACAAAUGGGUAAACGGUUACUCGUUUAUAACUGCGGUUAAUACCUAUAAUCACCCAUUUAAAUUUCACGAAUAAAUGGUUAUAUCUAUAACCAUUUAUUUAUCUAAACGGUUACCCAUAACCAUAACUGUGAAGUUUAAAUGGGCGGGUAACCGUGGUUACCCAUAACCGCAGAUAUUUUGCCCAUCCCUGAUACUAGGUACUGUUGGCCAAUACUUGGUACAAGACUAUACUUCCCUGGCCAAUACUUGGUACAAGACUAUACUUCCCUGGCCAAUACUUGGUAUAAGACUAUACUCCCCAAUUAAUUCAUUUUCUUUAAUUCUUUGGUUAAAUAUAUAAUUACUAUAGCUUCAUGAUAACUGCUAAUGUUAAGAAGAAACACUUUAAAAUCAAAUUACAAAAACAAUAAAACAGAAGCUAGUGUAUUAGCAAUGUUAAUAAUAAUUUGAUCAAUGAGUUUUUUUUUUUGCUUUGAAGCUCAAAUUAAUAUAUCAAGUAUUAUUAUUUUCUUUCCACAUACAUGUUUCAAUAUUCUAAACACUCAUGUUUCUUCUUUUGGUUCUCUCGUAAUCUUUCUUAAUCAAAAGAGAAGAUAUAAAGAAAAAAUUUCCAUUAAUACAAGAGGUGGACUGGUGGCAUUUGUCAUCAUUCUUUAUUAAUAAAAUAACUUUGAAACAUAGUUACCGACUAAAAACCAGGAAGAUUAGUGGUAUUGGACCACAAUCCCGGGUUUGGCAGGAAAUAUCAAGAGAAAUUAAACAACCAAUAAAAAGGAAGAUUAUACUCCAAUGCUCGUAGCAUGAUAUGGAUUCACAAAACUCCAAGAGAAAAAUAAUCCAAUUAAAUUAGGUCAGUCGUAUCAUGGAAGAAUUUUCCCGAAAAAUGCUUAAUUAUGAUUCUAGCUAACUCCAACUUGGCUUCACUUGUAUGUGUUUCUCUCCUGAGCGUGACCCCAUGCGCAUGGUUUUUUCAAAUGAAUAUCGGCCUUUCAGUUUUUAUUUUUUUAUUUUUUUAUUUUUUUAAUAUAAAUGAAAACGAGUGGUUAUGAUGAAUUUUCAGAAAAAUAGCUGCAGCAAAGAAUGAAGCAACCAAAAGGAAAUGAAAAAAAGAUGUAUGAUUUGAGGAUUUUGCUACAAGGUCUGCUUGCGUUCUUCAUGGCCAGGUGUCAAUAACAGGCACAAGAGAAUAAAGCUUUUGGAUUAUCUGCUAUCUGGGAGCACAGAAAGAAUGAAGAAGAAGAAGAAUGGAACAAUCACACGCAGAGAACGUAACUCUGCUAGAUUCUCAGAUCCCGGUGAGAAAUCGAUGGGAUUUUUAUGUAUCUCACCGUUCGCCGGUGAUAUGGCGCCGCUGGCGUGGGGCGAAGAGAUCGAGGGAUACAGGAUGCCAAGUAACGUCGUUUAUGUGGGUUAACAAGAAAUCAGUUUGCAUUUGUGCAGUUUCAAAAGUUUAAUUCUUAUUUUAAUCACUGAUUUUUAUCGUGCUUUAACAAGAAAUCAAUUAUGAAAAUGUGCUUUGUGAUUUUUCGUAAUUGGUUGAUUUUAAAAAAUCAUUACAUUUCAGUCAUUCUGCAUGAUCGCGUUAGUAUCUUGCGAAGUUCGAGGAGAUAUUGAUGUUAGGAGUAUUAAGAUCAUAUGGCUGUGAAUUAGACAUGUGUCAAGAGAUUAAAGAGUUAGUUAAAGUUUGCUAUAGUGUAGCUUAGAGUGUAAGCUACCAAUGCAAACUAUAUAAACUUUGUAACUAUCAUUUGUAACUAACAAGAAAGAUAAUACAUUUAUGAAAUUCUCUUCUCUCUCUAAACUCCCAAUCUUCUCUUCUCCUUCUUCUCUCUUUCUGCAUAACUAUCUUCAUCAACAUUCUUCAAUAGUUUACAUGGUAUCAUUCGCCUAAAGCAUAGCAGCUUGGCGGUCUUUCGAUCUUGGUUUCAUUCGCUUCCGCUUCUACUAUCUUCUCUUUGUGAUCUUGUCUGGAUUUGUGAUCUUUUCUGAUAAAUUGGGGUAUUUCAUCUGUAUCCCUUCGUCUGGUUUCGUCUUCUCAAAAGUGUGCCCACCAAGUGUUUGUGGUUAGUUCUCUGUCAAGAUUCCUAUGUAAUUGGCAACAAUGGUGACCGCUACUCAGUUACAGAUUCUACAAUCUCCGAUUGCGUCUUUGAUUUCAUCAGUCUCAAACUUGGUAAAUGUGAAAUUGGAUGAAACAAAUUACUUGGCUUGGCAUUUCUUGAUGGAGUUGCUUCUUGAAGGACAUAGCAUAAUUGGUUUUGUUGAUGGUUCGAUGCCUUGUCCUGCACAGUUUUGUCAUGAAUCUUCUGGUGAUUCUGCUACAAGGGUUCAAUCUGAUGACUACAAGGUGUGGAAAAUGCAUGAUAAAGCGUUAAUGCAAUUGAUCACUGCAACAUUGUCUUCGGCUGCGAUUUCUUGUGCCAUUGGGAGUACUAGCUCCAAAGAACUGUGGAGUCGCCUUAGAGAACAAUUCUCUACAGUCACAAGAACAAAUAUAUUUCAACUUAAAUCCGAGCUGCAAACCAUAAAAAAAGGUAAUGAUUCUAUCACUGUGUAUUGGCAAAAAAUUAAAGAAGCAUGGGAUUUGUUAUCUGCUGCUGGUGUAUUUUUUGAUGAUGAUGAUAUAGUGAUUCUUACACUAAAUGGUCUGCCUACUGAGUUCAACACCAUAAGUUCUGUGAUUAGGGGCCGUGAAACUGUGAUAUCAUUGAAAGAUCUUCGGUCUCAAUUGCUUGCUGAAGAAACUCUGGUUGAAACUAUUCCUCCAUCACCGGUGUUAUCUGCACUAAUGGCACAAACCAAUGGCUUGCCAUCCAAGAAUCAAUCUUUUUCUGGUUCUAGUGGAAAUUAUGCUAGUUCUAAUUCCAAUGCAUAUAAGUCCUUUAAUCAAAAUGGUAAAGGCCAAAAUUGGUUUGGAAACAACUUCAAUCCAAAAUAUGGUACUGGAAAGAAUUUUCAUUCAAGUCCGGCACCUGGCAUUCUUGGUACAUCACCACCACAAACACAGAACUAUGGCUUUCAGGCUCAAAUUUGUCAAUUUGUGGGAAAAAUAAUCAUUUGGCAUCUACAUGUCAAUUCAGAAAUACCAAUGUCUCCCAAGGUUGUCAAAUUUGUGGCAAGCAUAAUCAUCUUGCUGACACCUGCAGAUAUCGAAAUACAAGUAGUGCAUCAGGCUGUCAUGUAUGUGGGAAUCCAUAUCAUAGUGCAGAAACAUGUUUUCAGAAGAAUGCAACGUCUCAAAUGAGUGCUAUGCAUGCUUCAAUAACCAAUGGUACUUACUCUCCAUUCUUAGUGUCAUCAGCACCAUCUCAGCAACAAGUUUGGCUUACUGAUUCUGGUGCAAAUAAUCAUAUGACAUAUGAACUGGGAAAUCUCUCAUUGUCAACUCCAUAUCCUUCAAAUGAGAUCAUUCAAACAACUAAUGAUGAAUGUUUAGCUAUCUCAUAUAUUGGUUCUAGUCUUCUCAGAACUCCAAUGCAGCCUAUUAGGCUUCAUUCUAUUCUAUAUGUGCCAAAACUGUCUCAAAAUUUAUUAUUUGUGCAUAAGAUCUGUUUGGAUAAUAACUGUUGGUUGAUUUUCGAUGUUUUUUCAUUUUGGAUUCAAGACAAAACCACAGGGAGGAUACUCUACAAAGGGUUGUGUCAUAAUGGAUUGUAUCCUAUCAUCUCACCACGGUUUCAUCCAGCUAUCGAUAAAGGAAACAUUGCCGCUUUUCUAGGAAAAACAAGUUAUAGUCAGUAUUUGGCAUAAGAGACUAGGUCAUCCCUUUAAUUCCGUUGUCUCUCAAGUUUUAACUUCCUCUCAUGUUCCUUGUGUUGCUGAUCAAGAUCCUUCUGUGUGUCAAACAUGUUUAGAGGGCAAAUUUAGUAAACUGCCAUUUUCUUCUUCAGGAGACAAAUUUGUAAAACCCUUUGACAUUGUCCACAGUGAUGUAUGGGGUCCUGCUCCUUGUGUUUCUCUAGAAGGAUUCAAAUAUUAUGUCACAUUCAUUGAUCAUUGUACAAAAUAUUGCUAGAUUUUUCCCAUAUGCAAUAAAAGUGAUGUUUCCGGUAUAUUUGUUUCCUUUUACAAUUUUAUCUUCAAUCAGUUUCAAACUUCCAUUAAAACUCUCCACAGUGAUGGUGGUUGUGAAUAUAUAGGUAAAGCAUUUCAAAAGUUUCAAUCUGAUAAAGGAAUAAAGCAUCAAUUGUCCUACCUUCACACACCAGAACAGAAUGGGAUAACAAAAAGAAAACACAGACAUAUCAUUGAAACAUCCAUCACUUUAUUACAAUCUGCUUCCUUACCAUCUUUGUUUUGGUCUUUUGCUUGUCAAACCUCAGUAUAUUUGAUUAAUAGGAAGCCAUAUCCUGUAUUGGGAAAUAAGUCUCCAUUUCAAUUGUUGUACAACUCUAUACCUGCAAUACAACACCUGAAAGUGUUUGGGUGUUCUUGUUACCCUUGGUUGAGGCCAUACACUAGUAUCAAAUUAGAUCCCAGAACAACAAAUUUUGUAUUUUUGGGGUAUGCAUCCAAGUAUAAAGGUUUUCUCUGUUAUGAUGUUUCUAAAAACAAAAUGUAUGUUUCUAGACAUGUCUUAUUUGAUGAGACAGAGUUUCCUUAUCAUUCUCUGGUGUCUAAAUCUUACCCUAGUUCUUUUUCACCACUACCAUCACAUAUAUCAAUCCCAAAUCUAGUUCCAAAUCAAAGUAAUGUUCUUGUGUUUCCACAGUCACCUCAACACUGGACUUUCAGUUCAUCAUUAGGUUCUAUACCAUUAGAUUCAGAUUCUAUACCUAGUGUCAUGCCAAAUACUAGACUACAUCAAUCUUCAGCAAAUCAUCCUACAGUCCCAAUUGCAGUUUCAAGUUCCAGUACAGACUGUUCUUUUACUGGUCAAUUCAUUGGUACAUCAACAACACAGCCCUUAUCCUCUACAUUCCAUGUGGUACUGAAUUCCAACCUGACCAACUGCAAGUGGUUCUCUCUAUUCCUCAAUUAAUUUACAUCCAAUGCAGACACGAUCAAAGAGUGGGAUUGUUAAGAAAAUUGCUCUACUUGCUGCUAUUCAUGAAAAUAGAGGUGUUGAUUUGACUCAAGUGGAACCUGCAACAUAUAAAUUUGCAUUGAAAUCUCCAGUUUGGUAUGAUGCUAUGAAAGAUGAGAUCUCAGCUUUCCAUAAUCAAGGAACAUGGUCCUUGGUUCCAUUGCCCAAACACAAGAACUUAGUUGGGUGUAAAUGGGUGUAUAAGAUAAAAAAGAAGGCUGAUGGUUCAAUUGGGAGAUAUAAGGCACGACUGGUGGCAAAAUGAUAUAGUCAAGAAGAGGGCAUCGAUUAUGGAGAGACCUUUAGUCCUGUUGUUAAAUCAACAACAGUCAGACUAAUCCUGGCUUUAUCAGCACAUUUUGGCUGUACUUUGAGACAAUUGGAUGUGAAAAUGCCUUCCUCCAUGGAAUAUUGAAAGAAGAGGUCUAUAUGACACAACCACCUGGGUUUGUUGAUCCAAAGUAUGAAGAUUAUGUUUGCAGGUUACAUAAAUCACUAUAUGGUUUAAAACAGACACCACGGGCCUGGAAUGAAAGGUUCAGUACUUUUUUACCAUCUUUGGGGUUCAAGUCUACAUAUGCAGAUUCAUCAUUAAUUGUGAAAACUAUUGAUAAUUCUGUGGUGAUCUUGCUUUUAUAUGUUGAUGACAUAAUCAUCACAGGGAGUGCUACACAAACUAUCACUGAAGUUAUUCAAUCCCUUGCUAAGGAGUUUGAAAUAAAAGAUUUGGGACCACUUCACUACUUUCUGAGGAUUCAAAUUGUGCAGAAUAAGGAUGGCUUGUUUCUUUCCCAAGAUAAGUAUGUUACUGAUCUCUUAACUAAGUCUGAUAUGCUAUUAUCCAAACCUUGUGUUACUUCAUGUUUGCCAUACAAUAGACUGCUCAUAAAUGAUGGAAAGCCGUACAAUAAUCCUUCAUUGUACAAGAGCUUGGUUGGUGCCCUACAAUACUUGACAUUUACUAGACCAUACAUUGCUUUUGCAGUGCAUCAAGUCUGUCGAUUUAUGCAAAGACUAAUGGAAUCACUUUUUGUGGCUGUAAAAAGGAUCCUCCGGUACUUAAAGGCUACUCGAGGAUGUGGUAUUCAAUAUGUCAGAGGCCUUCUUGAUAUAACUGCAUAUAGUGAUGCAGAUUAGGUUGGAGACCCUAAUGAUCGAAGGUCAACUACUGGAAUGGUGGUGUUCUUGGGUUCUAAUCCUAUUUCAUGGAUGUCCAAGAAACAAAACACCAUAUCUAGAUCAUCAACGGAGGCUGAAUAUCGGGCAUUAUCUACUACAGCUGCUGAACUGGAUUGGAUCAAGUCUCUGCUGCAUUUUCUACAUAUUCCAAUUAUUGAGAAACCCCUUCUUUUUUGUGACAAUCUGUCUGCGAUAGCCUUGACUUGCAAUCCCAUUCAACAUUAACGAACAAAACACAUUGAGGUUGAUGUCCAUUUUGUUUGAGAACGGGUAGCAACACAGCAACUACAGGUGCACUUUGUGUCUUCAACUGAGCAGUUUGCAGAUAUACUUACCAAAGGGCUUUCUGAACCUAUUUUCCGGACUCAUUGUGCCAAUCUUAGGCUCAAUUUCUCUGCUCCUGAGCUUGAGGGGGGAUGUUAGGAGUAUUAAGAUCCUAUGGCUGUGAAUUAGACAUGUGUCAAGAGAUUAAAGAGUUAGUUAAAGUUUGUUAUAGUGUAGCUUAGAGUGUAAGCUACCAAUGCAAACUAUGUAAACUUUGUAACUAUCAUUUGUAACUAACAAGAAGGAUAAUACAUUUAUGAAAUUCUCUUCUCUCUCUAAACUCUCGAUCUUCUCUUCUCAUUCUUCUCUCUUUCUGCAUAACUAUCUUCAUCAACAUUCUUCAAUAGUUUACAAUUGAUUGGCGAUCACGUUAGUGUCGUGCCACUUCCACUCGAAGGCUAAAGAUAGAUCGAGUAGCAAAGGCGCGGAGACAAAAUUGCCUUCUAGUUGAGUGUCUAGCAAGAUAAGUUUUGUAAGUCCUUUUUGUAUUUAUUUCUCUUAGUGUUUGUCCUGGCUUGAAAGCUCGAGGAUUUUCCCAAUUGUGGAUUUUGCCUCGUUAAAUCCUACAUCAUGUGUGCACAUUUUAUUUAAUGUUUUAACUGCAUAUGUGUAAGAUAAUUUGAUAUGUGUUGUGAAUGUGGAAAUUAAAUUAAAUUUGAAUUGGAUUUUUUUUUAAGUUGGAACCUGUUCACCCCUGUCUAGGUUUAACUAGUACCCAUCCUAGAACUUUCACCCCUCUCUAUCCCACAUGCAUUGGGUGAUUACUUUCUCUUUGAAAAUGACUUGUUUUUCUCCUUUUAGAUUCCACCAUCUAGUCCUUGGGCACUUCAAAGUCUUGUUCUUUUUUCUCUCUUGUGAUAUGUACAUCCAUCACCAACAAGCGAUGUUGAUUAGCCAAGCUCUCUUCCGGUAUAACUUUGCAAUCCUUACAAGUCAAGAACACAGAACAUCAAAAGAUGAAGUUUUUUCAGUUUUCAUUCCUCCAUGUGGUUUAGGCAACGUAGACUUUCCCCUUUAAGCAUGUACUCAAAAGCCUUGUUGAUUUCUGAGAACGGGACUUCGUGGGUGAUGGAUUUCUCUAGCUCCAGUUCCUGCAACAUUAUUUAAUUAUUGAGUGUUCACUUAAAAUUUGGGAAAACAGGAAUCGAAAUCAGCCUUUUACCUUGUUCAUGUACUUCUCCACAACAGAGGGAAUGUCCGUUCGAGGCUUGUAGUUUCCGUAGAAUGUACCCUUGAGAGUCCUCUCAGUUAGAAAGUUAACCAGAUGCAUCUUGAAGACGGCUUCUUUGUGUGGGACUCCCACAAGAACAGCAACACCCCAACCCUGAAAUUAAUAGCAGUUUAAUUAUGUGAUUACUUGUUAAUAAUAAGAGUUAAUAUCAGUUUACUGAGUUUCAUGGUUUUCAACAUUUAGUACAUAAAGUUUUUUUUCAUCCCAAAGUGGUACCUAAAGUUAUAAUCUUGGGACACUUUCAUACAUCCGUUAAGGUUGCUGUUAAAUCAACCGUUAACUGAUGAUGUGGCACCCACGUAGACAAUGACCGGGAGCCACGUGGAUAUUUAAAAUAAUAAUAAUAAUAAUAAAAUAUUUAUUAAAAAAAAAUCCUAAAAGAUACCGAUACCUCUCUCUCUCUCUCCCUCCCGUCCGUAAUGCCUAGAACCUUAACCCUCGCCUGCUUCAAAGCCCUCCUGUUAGGGUUGAGGUGGUUUUAGAAAAAGCUAGUAUGAAAAAAAGUUGGGAGAGUUUUUGGUGUUUGGUAAACACCUCAAACCAACUUUUUUUUCAAAGUUUCUUAGUAGACAAAAGUAGGGCAAAUGAUAAGAGAUGUAGGGGAGGGAACAAUUGAAAAAAGAUACUUGGCUUCUCAAGGGUAUUGUUCAAAUACCCUUUAUUCAUCCAUGUCAGAUUCUCAAUUUAACAGCCUUAAUUUGCUUAGAUUGCAGACUUAUGAUUUGGGUGAAUCUAAAAUUCCUUGUUGGUUACUGAGUUGGUUACUUCUUGCAAUAAUCUGGAAUUUGGAACAUUAUGCUCCAUGUGAUUUCAAUCACAGGUUUAUUUGAUUAGUUGCGUUAUGGCCAAGCAUGAGGUGGCUCCAUGUGUACUGUGUAUGCUUCCAUGUACUACGUAUGCUCAUUCCUGCUUUCGUGUACAUAAUGCUUUGAUUAGUUAUUUCUUGGUUAUAUUACAAUAUUAUUUGUUCUUGUUUUAAUAGAUAUAUAUAUAUAUAUAUAUAUACAAAUCACUAGUUGGUAUCGAUGACAAAGAAUGGGGCAUCUUCGUCAAAUCCUACAGCUACAUGGAAUGCCCACAAUAUAUCUAUAUUUUGUGAUGUAUGCAUCAAGGAGGUUGAGGCCGGACAUCGUCUGAGCACUCACUUUAACAAAGAUGGAUAGGCAAAUAUUAGAGCUAACUUCAAGGCAGAGACAGGGGUAUGCCUAAUUACCCGAUCAAUAAGCAAGUGAAGCUUGUCAUUGCUACAAUGACUCUUCAUAACUACAUACAGAGGUAUUCUGAAUAAGGGUGGGCAUGGGCCGGGCCGAGCCCAAUUUUGAAGGGACCAGAUCAGACCUGGGUUCAAAGGAAACGGGCCGGGGAUUACAUUUUCUAAUAUAGGAACCGGACCUUACCCAGCCCAGUUGAAACGGGCCGGUUCGAGCAGGGUCCACUGGUCCCUUUUUUUUUUUUAUAAUAAUAAAAUUUGCACAGAUUGCAAACUGCACAGAUUUGCACAGAUUGCAACUGCACAGAGUCACAUAGUGCAUUUAUGCAUAUUUUGCACAAAUUCACCAUUAUUCACAUCCAAUCUAAAUUCAAAGUCCAACAUCCAAGUUCAUAAAUUAACAAUACAUCAAAAAUAACAAUAUUACAUCGUCCAAGAGAGAAACGAGUUCAUAGAUUAACAAUACAUCCAAAAUAACAAUAUUACAUCAUCCAAAAUAACAAGUUCAUAGAUUAACAUCAUCCAAAAUUCACCAUUAUGCACAGACUGCAUUUAUCCAGACAACUGCAAGACAAAAACGAUAAAAAUGUAUGAGUUACUCUUGACCAUUUGGGAAAUUUACAAUAAAACUGUAUGAUAAAUGCUAUUUAGGAAAUCGAGGUAUUAUUAAUGAGAAUAAUAUCUUUCCUUUAUGUAGACAAACUUCUGGAACCACAUUAACCCCAAAAACUACAAACUAUAUCUUUAUCAAUAUCCCUAUUUUUCAAAACAUUACAUAAGCAUGUUAAAGUUUAUACUUCAUAGGUGAAACUGUGAAAGUGUUUCCCGAGAGCAAAAACACGGUUUCCAAUCCAUAGUUUUCAUUUCUUCAGUAGUGGUCACACAGUCUGAACAUUACAGCCUGAGCUCGUUUUUGUGUUUGAUUUUUUUUAGCUCUGCUUUUAUAGGAUCAUGAACCCUAGAUCGAUAUUGAUCACUGUCUUUGCCACUAAGCCUAGCAUACAGAAUAAUAAUAAUAAUAAUAAUAAUAAUAAUAAUAAUAAUAAUAAUAAUAAUAAUAAUAAUAAUAAUAUGAAAUUAAAAGGGGAAAAAAUCGCAAAUAUGAAUAAAUAUCUAUAAAUAUUGUCAAACUCAGAGUGGGGCUCCAAAGCUCCAUGAAAAAUGAUUGUGAUGCUGAUGUAGGCCAAGAUUUUGACUAGUUUUUGCAUCCAACUCAACUCAAAAGGAAUAAGAAAUGUAUAGACUCACACUAUCUAGUAUUUAAUUUCCUUAAGAACUUAGAAGUUAGAAGGCAUCAAAGCUUGCCAAAUUGCUGCAAAAUUAUCAAUUCAAUCAGCAAUCUAUUGCAAAGUUAACUAUAGUAACCUAGUUCGAAAACCCUAAAAUCCCAAAUUCCAAUUUUAAAACCCUUAAAUCCCUAUACCCGAAAUUCAAAUCAAUAACAAAACCCUAAUUCAAAAUUACCUAAAUUUUAGAGGAAUGAUGGUUGGUACCAGUGUCCUCAACGACGGUGAUGGAUGGGGUGAUGGCAGUCGCGACGGCGGGGGUUGCUGUCAAAGAGGAGAGAAUCGAAGGCGGGGGUGAUGGCCUGAGUUCUCUGGGAUGUUAUCGAGGAGGAUAAUGGGUGGUGUCGUUGUGUUCGCUGAGGAAAAUCAACGGUUGGUGAGCACUGUGAGGAGGAUGACGAUUGGAGUCGAGGGAAGAGAGUCGAGUUGUUGAGGGACUGAGAGUCUAAGAGUGAGAGUGAGAGUCGAGACGAGAGAGAUAGAUAACCUAGGGUAAAAAUAAAACUAACGGUUCAUAUUAGAGAUAGUAGCUUAUUCAUCAAUCUGGUCCGUCCAUUUCAAUUACAAACGGGCCGGUCUGGGUACCCGCGGUUUUUAUGCUCCAGGAACCGGCCCGAAUCGAAAAUCUCAAAAGCUCGCCUCGUUUCUCUUUUUUUAAAAUAGGAACCGGCCCGUACCGGCCCCGACCCGCGCUUCCCGUACCCGUUUGCCCACCCCUAAUUCUGAACGUGAUCGUCAUUUUGAUGACCCCAGGGACUUUUGUGAAGAGAGCGAUAGUAGUGAUGAUGAUGAUGAAGAAAACCAAAAUUAUCAAGUUGAAGGAUCAUAUGAGAUAGAGGCAUUAAGAAAUAGAAUAGCGGCAAGUUUGAUGAAUGCAUCUAAUUAGACUACUUUCAAGUACAUUAACAAUAUUGUACUAAUGAAUCCUAGCUAUCCAGCCUAAAAUAUUUCAAUUGAAGUAGUCUGUCAUACUAAUUAAUAUUUAAGGAAAACUAAUAAAAAUGGCUUGAAAACUUUGAGUUUUAAUGAUAAGGACAAAAUAAAGGGUAAAGUGAAUAGUACCAGGAUUGACUUUUUAGUGUAAAAAUAUGGUUUUUCGUUAAAGUGAACAGUACCAGGAGCUUUUCGUUAAAGUUCCCUAAUAUUUAAGAUAAAGUUUAUAAAUAUUUUUCUUUUAAAAUAAAGUAUAUUUAGUAAUUCACCUUUAUUUGUUAAGAAAAUUAAAUUAAUAGCACAUCUAGUAUUAUACCCUUUUUAAUCAUUUCACACAUUCACAGUUGUUUUACAUAAAAGUUUACCAAACACUAUCAUACUGCUUUUUUUUUUCUUUCCAAAAGCACUUUUACAAAUAAGUUUACCAAACACUCUGCUGCUUUAUUUCACAGCUGCUUAUUCUCACGGCGUAGCAGAAUCAACUUUUUUUCAAAGCACAACAAUACCAAACCAGCCCUUAUUCCUUCCGUUUUCCUCAACCUCUACUUCCUCUUCCUCCACGAGCCGCUAGCCCUUCUCUUCCGCUACACUUCCUCCCCACCACGCACCGCCACUUUGUCUUCGCCAUCACCUUCUCCUCCCUCUCCUGGUCCUGCCGUGAGCCCUACCUCCGCCUCUGCUGCUCCUCCACCUCUACCAGCGCCUUCACGUUUCUCGAUCGUGCACCAAUUGGUGUGAAAAUUACUUGACACACAAAUUAAACCCUCUUUUGACAAUUGUAGUAUAGAUGUAAGUAGGGUAUCGUUCUAGGCCGGGGAUUAGGAGGGAUUGCUAAUCUAUUCUAAAUUAAUUUAAAAAUAUUAAACAAGACUCAAGGACACAAAACUAGGCUAAAAACUCUAAUAACUCGAAACACUUAGAAUGACUCAAAAUAAUGAAAACAAUCAAAUUAAACACUAGGAAUUGAAAUGGACGAAAAUUGAAUUAAAAGACUAACAACAAUGAAAACUAACUAAAUAAUAUAAUUUAAUAAUGGGGGGUUUGGUUUUGAUGAAAAGUAAAUUAAACUUAAAUAAAUUACAGAAUUGACAAAAACAUGAAAUUAAGGUGAAAUGAUAAGUGACGGAUUAGCUAGAGGGUUCUUCUCCACACAUGACACAUAUGCAACCUAAAUUGAUUUUCAGUUGUUCUUUCAAUAAAUUGUAAAUCUCAACGCCCCAAAUUAACCGUGAAUUGCACUAAUUAACCCUCAGUUUUUCCACAAGUUAUUGGGUUGGAUGAUUGCAUACGACAACCCAAAACAUUCCCUUGCUUUGGAGCUUCUGUUUUGCUCCCACCAGCUGCCACGGGGCAGCUCUUGUUUCUCUCAGUCCUUCACAUUGCACAAACCUUUCCAAGUGCUCACGCUGCCAGAUGCCGAGAGGAAGCAGCAACCUCGUGUCCUCUGCUGCAAGAGCAGCCUUUGUUUCUUGUCUUUGCACCGCCAGCUACAUGCACCGCAAGGCACCUGCACCGAGGCUCCUUUCUCCUAUAUUUCUGCGCUGCCAAGGGCAGCCUUCGUCUUUUUCUUCUCGCUGACCUCCCCGUGUCUAUCUCCCUGUCCUACCCUGCUUUCCUUUCCGCGUCCGUGUCAGUCUCUUCUCUCUCUCCCUACCUGACCUUCUUCCUGACCUCCACGCUGCCAAAGGCAGCUCUUCCCCCCCCCCCCAAUUUCCUUUCCGCCUUUUUUUCUUAUCCCCCCGCUUCAGUCCUCUUUUAUUCUUUUUAUCUGUCAGUGUGCACUCCACUCUCCACUCAGUCUUCCACUCUUCUUUUAUUUUAUUUCUUUCCCUCAUCUCUCUGACCUCCUGGUCUCUCACUCCCGUCUCAUUAUUCUUCUUCUAUCCCACCUAACUCUGUCCACUUCCUCUUAUUUUCUGCCAUUCUUUUUGUUCCACUACCUUCCCACUGUCUCCCCACUCCUGCUUCUCUCCCUCACUGACACGCUGCCUAGGGCGGCUCCCUUUUCGUUAUUAUAGGCCACAUACUCGCCAGAUUCAAUAUAAGGGAUUUUUAUCUACACAAAAGCCACAAACAAUACCAUGAUUUUCAUCUACUUCAAAUACAUGCACACAUUUACACACCUACUCAAAUAUAAAUGUGAAACAAUAUACCAACAUAAAUGCAACCAUAGUAACUGAAGCCAUUAUUAUAACAAUUCAAAUAUAAUUAGCAGACUCAAGUAACAAAUCCAAAACCAAUAUUCUAUCUAUUUAUUAUUUAAAACUCAUUUGUGCUAUUUUUAUUUUCUUUGCAUAACAGAUCCUAUAAACACAAAAAUAACGUAAAUAGCUCAAAAAUAUAAGGAACUAACUAAGAAAAGACGAGUGAAUUCGAAGUAAAAAUAUAUAUAAAUAUGAUCCGAUCAAAUACCCCCACACUUAACUUUUGCUAGUCCUCGAGCAAAACAAAGGAAACAUGAAAAAGUACUAACAUGAAAAACAUUAGUUUCCCCCUAUGUGACCCUCAUAGAAUUUCAUUUGAGAACACAAAUCAUCAAGAACCAUAGCUAGCACCAAACAAGUUAAUCCAAGUUUAUCUUCCUUAUUCAAAUAUUUGCAGUAAUCUUUAAAUCAUCCUUGAAGUGUAGUGUGUGAGAUAGCCAUGCUAAUGUAAUUUCAAGUUUUUAUUUUUAAAAUCAUCAUAUGCAAACUAGCGACUUUCUCACGGGAUAUGCACUCAAUCACACAUGUGUUUAGUUUUAAUGUGUUUCGCUCAAAGAAACAAAUGUGAAAUUUCUACCAUAAGCUUGCAUAAAGAUCACUUCUCCACAGUCAUAAUUGCAAAACUUAAAUCAAGAGGACUUUUAUUGGAUGUAAUGAGGCUUAGGGAUAGGGUUAUUGAAACGAAAGAAUAGGAAAACACAAAUUCCAAGCUACAUUGCAAGUAAUUCUUUUCUUUAGAUUUACAAGAACUCAAGCUCUCCAACGAUUCUUCUGACAUCUCCAACCACACUCUUAAACUGAAACUUUAAAAACUUUUUAUUUUCUUUGUAUACAAUCUUCUUUUUUUUUUUUUUUUUUUUUUUUUAACACAUAACUAAAUACAAACAUGAAAUACCCCCACACUUAUUCUUUUGCCAAACACCUUCAAAAUACUUCACAAACGUUUCUCAUAAGACAUUCUCGCAUUGCUCACUAGCUUGCUUGGAAAGGGUAAGGAAAAAUGUUUCAGGUAUAAGGGUAGACAUAUCUGGUGAUAAGAAAUAAAAAGGCUCAACAUACACGGCUCAAAUUGGCAAUCUAAUGAUAUCAUUUUUCUUUGGGAAACAUGGUUAUUUGGGCCAUGGUGGUAAACCUAAUGCCUCUAUCAUUUCCAAGUUCAUGCAAUCAAUGACAAACAUUUCGAAAGAUCGUUACGCAAGUUCUAGAGAUGUAUCUCACAUAAGUUCAUCACACAUGAAAGAAUAGGAGUGUAUGAAAAAUGCACACACUUUCAAUAGGCUCAAAGAACUCACAUAGGAUGUAUAUGGUCACUAAAUUCACAUAUGAAGCUUUAAGUCAUGCUUUAGUUUCACACCAACAAGGCUAUGUGCAUUUGGUUUUUCAAAGAUGAUCAAACAUGUACAAAACUAACAAGAGAAUUAGGAAUUUCACAAAACACAUGUUAACUAAGUUCUUGAUGAUCAUGGUUCAAAUUUGAUCUAAUUAUAUCAUUGGGUUGGGAAACUAACAAAAAUCUAAUUCAAAACAAUAAGGGAAACAAGACAAUAUUUUUGGAUUUUUAAAUUUUCCGAUUUUUUUUUUAUUUUUUAUUUUUAUUAUUAUUAUUAUUAUUUUUUUAUUUUUAAAGAAAACAAAACUAAUUAAGAAAACAAAAAGCAACAACACAGAAACAAAUGAAACCAGUUUGUAGUUGAAGGUACAAAAAAAUUUCAAUUUGGUCAUUUUUUAUACUCUUUACCCCCAAACUUAAACUGGACAUUGUCCCCAAUGUCAGAAAACACUAUAAUGCAAAUAAAAAUAAAAUAAAUAAAUAAUAAGAAACAAAAUAAAACAAUUGGACUGAAAACUUCCCUAAUUUGCAGUAAAACCAAGCGAUGACCCCCCCAAGCUAAAAUUCUGCAAUCAACUUCAAGGGUGGAAAGAACCAAAAGUUCCUGCAAAGAAAAGAAAUCAUUCAGUUAAGUAACGCAAGAAAAUGUAAAAAAAAAAAAAAAAAAAAAAAAAUUUGCAAAUGAAAAAUUGAAAAUCACGAUAAAAGACAAUGAAUAGAACUAAUAAGUGAUCAUUGGUCGUGCUUGUUGACUUUCCACAGCUUUCCUCUUGAACGGGGUGACACUUAGCUUAUUACUUGCAAGUGAUGAUUUGAUAAUAUUGUACGGCGAAGCUUUGCUCUUUGGUGAUGUUGCAGUUCCUUAUUUGUUCUCCAAGCAGAUGUGGCAGCUUCUCUAGUUCUUCAGCUCGGACUCCUUGUGCUGGGUUGAUUGUACGAGCUGCAUUCUUCUCUGCUUGUUUCCUCUGCAUGGCGGGCAGGCACGAGGGAGAGGUGUUGGUCUGUUUCUUUCUUCAAUCUUUCCAAGUGCCCACCUCUUGCUCUCUUUCUCCUUGUCCCUAGCUGAAUUGUCUCCACAUGCUUCGAGGUAUCAUUUUCACUUCCCUUACUGUCCCCCAGGCAGAUGUGGUAGACGAAGAGAAAGCAUAAAAUGAUGAAGAUGAGUACUCGAGAGCAAGGCUAGGUAAGCAAUCAGGAAGGGGUUCCAGGCAGUUGGCUCCAGAUCGGAAGAUUGAUACCAAAUGCUGGCUGAUUGCUCUCUUUCUCCUUGUCGUAAAACAAAGACAAGGAAAAGGACAGGGAGAAAGCAUGAUAUGAGAUACUCUUGCUUUCAACCUUCAUGAUAUGAAAUACUUUUGCUCUGGAUGGGUUGUUUGCAGGGGUAUCCCAGGGAAUGAGAAAUACAGAGUGACUUGAGAGGGUUCUUUGGGAAUGCAUUCUCGGAGAUGAAGAAGUGCUGAGAGGGUGUGCCUUUGCUGUGGAAGGCGAAGGUAGAUACUUAUGGGACUUUUCUUCACAACCGGAACUAUUCCCUCACUCAUUGUCGGCAGCCGGUGGAUGGAUGAAUAGUACUAAUUACGCGCUUUCUGACAAAGAUGCCCGUAAUUUUCGCAAAGAAGAUUCCUCAUUGAUAUCUGGAAUCGGCGCUUCGAGCUCUGAGCAUCGUCGAUUGUAGAGGUAGCAUGUGACACGUGCGGAUAAAUCUGGAAAAGAAGAUUUGCCCGUGGGUUGAAGCCCAGCUUUUGAGAAAGCUAGCGUGUCUUUGACUGUUGAAUUUCCCUCUUCGAUUUCUGAAUUGGUGCUUCGACAAACUGCCCGAGAUUUUCGCAAAGCAAUUUGCGUGUGACAAGUGACGACACGUCUGGACAAAUUGAUCUUUUGAAAUCCGGGGUUCGGCUCGUGGUUUCUGAGCAAGCCCAGCCUUUAAGAAAUGAAACGCCUCUUUUGAGAAAAGAAUCCGGCUUUUGAGAAAGGAAACUCCUCUUUUGAGAAAAGAAUCAGGCGUUUGAGAAAGGAGCCCCGACUCUUCGAUUUGCGAGAUGACGCUUCUCUGAGGAGCGCCUCUUUGAUUUCUUCUUUUUAUAGAGGCGUUAAUUUUGUUCCACAACACACUUGAGCUCUCUCCUGUAAACACUCUCUUCUUGCACUUCCAAAAUCUUAAUCAGUCCGACUCUCUUCUUUCUUCACCACCUCUAAAAAAUGUCUGGCCCUUCCGAUCGUCGUUUUGACUUGAACAUUGGUGAAGAGGCAGCUCCGCCUUCACCAGACAACAUAUGGCCCAUCCUUCAUAUCCCCUACCGGUCCCCUUACCGUGGGGGAUUCGGUGAUGAAAAAUGCCAUGACCGCUGCGGUGGUGGCCCGGAACCUUGUCACCCCCAGAGAUAACAGAUUGCUCGCUAGACGGUCUGAUGAAUUGGCGGUUAAGGAGUCUCUGGCUCUUAGCGUGCAGUGUGCGGGUUCUGUGUCCAACAUGGCCCAACGCCUAUUUGCUCGAACCCGUCACGUUGAAUCAUUGGUGGCUGAAAUACAGAGUCUCAAAGAGGAGAUUAGAGGACUCAAGCAUGAAAAUAAACAAUUGCACAAGCUUGCACACAAUUAUGCCACAAACAUGAAGAGGAAAAUUGACCAGCUGCAGGAAAAUGAUGGUCAGAUUUUACUUGAUCACCGAAGGUUUGUGGGUUUGUUCCAACCGCAUCUUCCUUCGUCUUCUGGGGCGGCACCGCGUAGUGAAGCUCCAACUGAUCAACCUCCGAUACCUCCUCCUUCCGUGGCCCCGCCGACUGCUGAAGCUCCGCCGACUACUGAAGCAUCACCUGACCAAUGAAUGCUAUUAGUUUACACAUCAUUGUAAAAUAUUUUUACUUUUAUGUUUUUUUUUAUUUAUUUAUUUUUUUUUUAAGUGUUUUUUUUUUAAGUGUUUUUAUUUUAUUUUAUUUUAUUAUUUUAUUAUUUUAUUUUAUUUUAUUAAAUAUGUAAAUUAAUGUAAAAAGACUUUGUUUAACCUGCCCCCACACUUAAACUAAAUAACAAAAACUCACAGAAAUCAACCAAAUAACACAACUAACUAAACAAAACAAAAUGAAAGCGGUAAAGAUAAGGGUGUAAGAAUUCAAAUCUGAUUUGGUUAGCGAUUCCAAAGUCUCCCUUCGUUGAAUGCUUGGGUUGCCUCCCAAGAAGCGCUUGAUUUAACGUCUUUAGCGGGACGAAUCUUUCCUUUAAAUUCCCCUCGGCUCCAAAGCAUGGAAUUUAUCUUUUAAUGGGAGGUGAUACUUGAAAUGAUUCGGCAAUGGUUUAAAUUCAAGAGUGGGUGCCUGAAUCAUCAAAAUCAGAAACAUGUUAGUAUAAAUUAAAAUUAAAAUUGGAGAAGAUGGCUUACUUUCUUUUUCCGACACAAACUCAAUGACAAACACCACAUUUUUGAACAUUUCCGGGACUUUGAACUUGGCCAGGUUUACUAUGAUGGUUGUGGCUUGUCCCGUGUCAUCAAACUCAACUGCUUUGGGCUUGAUUGUCUCAUGCACAGCCUCUUGGAUGUAUUCUUGAUAUGCUUCAACCACUUCAUUCUCUUGAAUCCCUUUUCUUGGUGUGCAAGGUUCUUUGAACGUUUCAAUACCAUCGGGAACUUGUUUUGGUGCACCAAGAAUUGGGAUAUCACUUUGCACCUUUGGAAGAGCUUCCACAAUGUCUUUUUCACUCUCUUUGAUAUUUGGAAUAAAAAACCUACAAGGAAAAAUGACAUUUGGUGGAAUAAUGUUAGAAUGAAGUGGAUUUAAAACUUCCUCACCUGAGUUGGAUGACAUAGGGAUUUGAGGAGCUUGCAGCAAGAAUUCUUCUAAACUGCCCAGGUCGUCCUCCUCCUCUUCUGCUUGCAGCAGCAAUUCAUCCAUGUUCAGGCUGUGUUUGGAUAGUUCUAGGACUGCUUCAUCCUUCAUGUCACCUUCCAAAGUGAUAGCAUCGUGGAUUUCAAAAUCUUCCUUCAAAUUUUCAACAGUUGGGCUGGAGAGUUCACUUUGCUCUUGAAUUUGUACCAUGAAUUCCAUAAUCUCUCCCAUUUGACUCUUCAAUUUAUCCAACUUCUUGUCUUGAUUUUGUGAGCCCUGCACCAAAGAAUUUAAUUCAUUAAGAAUUUGAUUAUAAUUUAUUGACGAACCUGAGUUUGAUUGAGCAUAUUGCAUAGGUUUUGAAUAGAAAUCCUCCUCUUGCUGCCAAUAUCCCUCUUGUUGGAAUUGUUGAGGUUCCCCCCACAUAUAAUUUGAAUGAUCUCUCCAAGCCGAAUUGUAAGCGUUGGAAAACAUGUUGCUGCUUGGUUGAUCAUAGCCUUGAUAACCCCAAGCAUCUUCAUUGGCAGAAAAUUGAGGACUUUGAUAUCCUUGCCCAUAGGGCACAUCAAGUGUAGGGACACUUGGCAUUGUGGUCCGUUCGGCAUUAUGAGUCAAUUGAGCAGUGAGCUGUGCCAAUUGAGCUUGAAUGGUCGCAAUUGCCAUGUCUUGCUCCAUUUGUACCUAAAAUCAAAGAAAGAAAAAUAAAUCAAAUAUCAAAAGUAAAAUACACAAACACCAAUAUAAACAUAAACAAAAACAAAAAUAAAGGGAUUAGCAAAGUUGCUAAUCCCCGGCAACGGCGCAAAACAUUUGGUGUGAAAAUUACUUGACACACAAAUUAAACCCUCUUUUGACAAUUGUAGUAUAGAUGUAAGUAGGGUAUCGUUCUAGGCCGGGGAUUAGGAGGGAUUGCUAAUCUAUUCUAAAUUAAUUUAAAAAUAUUAAACAAGACUCAAGGACACAAAACUAGGCUAAAAACUCUAAUAACUCGAAACACACUUAGAAUGACUCAAAAUAAUGAAAACAAUCAAAUUAAACACUAGGAAUUGAAAUGGACGAAAAUUGAAUUAAAAGACUAACAACAAUGAAAACUAACUAAAUAAUAUAAUUUAAUAAUGGGGGGUUUGGUUUUGAUGAAAAGUAAAUUAAACUUAAAUAAAUUACAGAAUUGACAAAAACAUGAAAUUAAGGUGAAAUGAUAAGUGACGGAUUAGCUAGAGGGUUCUUCUCCACACAUGACACAUAUGCAACCUAAAUUGAUUUUCAGUUGUUCUUUCAAUAAAUUGUAAAUCUCAACGCCCCAAAUUAACCGUGAAUUGCACUAAUUAACCCUCAGUUUUUCCACAAGUUAUUGGGUUGGAUGAUUGCAUACGACAACCCAAAACAUUCCCUUGCUUUGGAGCUUCUGUUUUGCUCCCACCAGCUGCCACGGGGCAGCUCUUGUUUCUCUCAGUCCUUCACAUUGCACAAACCUUUCCAAGUGCUCACGCUGCCAGAUGCCGAGAGGAAGCAGCAACCUCGUGUCCUCUCUGCUGCAAGAGCAGCCUUUGUUUCUUGUCUUUGCACCGCCAGCUACAUGCACCGCAAGGCACCUGCACCGAGGCUCCUUUCUCCUAUAUUUCUGCGCUGCCAAGGGUAGCCUUCGUCUUUUUCUUCUCGCUGACCUCCCCGUGUCUAUCUCCCUGUCCUACCCUGCUUUCCUUUCCGCGUCCGUGUCAGUCUCUUCUCUCUCUCCCUACCUGACCUUCUUCCUGACCUCCACGCUGCCAAAGGCAGCUCUUCCCCCCCCCCCCCAAUUUCCUUUCCGCCUUUUUUUCUUAUCCCCCCGCGUCAGUCCUCUUUUAUUCUUUUUAUCUGUCAGUGUGCACUCCACUCUCCACUCAGUCUUCCACUCUUCUUUUAUUUUAUUUCUUUCCCUCAUCUCUCUGACCUCCUGGUCUCUCACUCCCGUCUCAUUAUUCUUCUUCUAUCCCACCUAACUCUGUCCACUUCCUCUUAUUUUCUGCCAUUCUUUUUGUUCCACUACCUUCCCACUGUCUCCCCACUCCUGCUUCUCUCCCUCACUGACACGCUGCCUAGGGCGGCUCCCUUUUCGUUAUUAUAGGCCACAUACUCGCCAGAUUCAAUAUAAGGGAUUUUAUCUACACAAAAGCCACAAACAAUACCAUGAUUUUCAUCUACUUCAAAUACAUGCACACAUUUACACACCUACUCAAAUAUAAAUGUGAAACAAUAUACCAACAUAAAUGCAACCAUAGUAACUGAAGCCAUUAUUAUAACAAUUCAAAUAUAAUUAGCAGACUCAAGUAACAAAUCCAAAACCAAUAUUCUAUCUAUUUAUUAUUUAAAACUCAUUUGUGCUAUUUUUAUUUUCUUUGCAUAACAGAUCCUAUAAACACAAAAAUAACGUAAAUAGCUCAAAAAUAUAAGGAACUAACUAAGAAAAGACGAGUGAAUUCGAAGUAAAAAUAUAUAUAAAUAUGAUCCGAUCACCAAUCGACCCCUCCAACGAGAAGUUCGUCACUCCGAUUGUCGUCUUCGAUGAUACCUCUUGCUUUAUGUACACUUUCAAGGGAGGGCUUCGUUCCACGAUCCGCGUGGCAUGCAUGGUUAAGGAGGUCGUUGAUCGCGGCGAGCUGGAUGUGAGGUGGUUCGUGUUCGGCGAUGACAACAUGGUGUUCUUCGUGAAGAAUCUGGUGAGGAUGCUGUCAAAGUACGAUCACGAUCAGUGGUUUUACGUCGAGAGCAAUAUAGUUGCAGUUGCGGUCGCAGGGAGAGUGACGAUGAUUGAAGAAGAAGGUGAUGAGGGUUAGAUUGGAGGGUGGCUGGCGAUGAGGGUUGAUUGCAGUAAGUGUGGCUGGGGAUUGAAAUGAUGGGAUUGGAUUGGAGGGUAUGUUUUAGGCAAGGUAUUAAAUAUCGGUAAUAUCGGAAAUAUCGGUAGUCCAAAAACACGGAAAUAUCGAUGGAAAUAUCGGGAUAAUAUCGAUAUCGAUAAAAAUUACAUAGAAACCACGGAAAUUGUAAGAAAAACUUGGAAAUUUUUAUUGAAACUUUGCAGGAUGUUUAUUUAGUCAAUUAUCUAUUAGUUUAUCACAAAAAAUUGGAAGGAAAUGCAUUGCAUGAUGGAUUUAACAUUAUCAAGUUGAUUAUAUAGCGAGCUGACAAACAUUGUGAGUGUAGAAAAUAUGUAGUAAUUAAUGAAAGAAGUCUAAACACACCAUAAUCAUUUAUAUAUAAUGAAUUAGUACAAUAUUUGACACUUUAUACAUUGCAUGGUAAGAUACAUGAGUGACUUAGUACCACAUAGAGUUCCUAUGAGGUUCAAAUUUUUCACUAUCUUCAUCAUCUCUAUGUGUAGAGUGAGUGUAUUGUGAAGAGUAGUUAUCAAAUGAUAAAUCCCCAAAAUAGUUUUGCAUGUAAUUAUUAACAUGCCACCCAUAUGGAUCCGAGAUUGGUUGACGUUGUCCAUAAGCAAAAUCAUUUGAAGAUUGAGUCUCGGAUUGUUUCCAUGAGUCGCUCGAUUCCAUCCCAACAGGAAUGAGAUAUGAAGGGUAGGGAAAUGGUUGGUUAUGAGUAUUACCUAAUAUUAAUAAAUAAUAAUCCAAUUUGAUAAUAAAAUAAUAAAUAACAAUUUUUUUUGGAAGUAGAAGAUUUUGAUUCAGAAAUAGUAAAACUGGCAGUAUGAAACCACUCCACACGGUUUUGAACUUUGGUAGUAUGAAACCACUCCACCUUUUUGUCUUGUCAAUGUCUUUUUCACACACACACACACACCUUUUUUCUCACACACGCAACACACACACACACACGCAGACCCUCAGUCUAUCCUUCUCCCUCAGUCUCUCCACCCUCAGUCUAUCCUUCUCCCUCAGUCUCUCCUUGUUUCUUCUUCAGUUCUCCCCCCAUCUCUUCUCUGCAACUCACCUUCCCAGAGCCUAUCCUUCUCCCUCAGUCUCUCCACCCUCAGUCUCUCGAUCGAUCCUUCUCCAUCCUUUUCCCUCAGUCUCUCCUUGUUUCUUCUUCGGUUCUCCCCCCUAUCUCUUCUCUGCAACUCACCUUCUCCCUCAGUCUCUCCUUGUUUCUUCUUUGGUUCUCCCCCCCCCAUUUCUUCUUCGGCUGCUGUUGCGAUGACGACGGAGGAUCCUCGGCGAUAUUAUGACUAAUAUCGCGAUAAUAUCGCUAAUAUCGCGAUAUUAUCGCGAUAUUAUUACGAUAAUUAAGUGUAAACGUUGAAAAUAUCGCUAUGUAAAAAUAACGAUAUUAUCGGCGAUAUUUCGUCGAUAAUAUCGAUAUUUAAUACCUUGGUUUUAGGGAUUCUUUUUUUUUAAUAUUUUUUAAUUAUUAUUAUUAUUAUUUAUUAAUUUUUAAUUUUUAAUUUUUUUAAUAUUCACGUGGCGUCCAGUCAUUGUCCACGUAAGCGCUAUGUCAUCAGUUAACAAUUGAUUUAACAGCAACCUUAACGAAUGUAUGAAAGUGUCCCAAGAUUAUGACUUUAGGUACCACUCUGGGAUGAAAAAAACUUCAUGUACUAAAUGUUGAAAACCAUGAAACUUCAAGUAGUAAACUGAGAUUAACCCUAAUAAUAAGAUAACGUUGAAAUUUGAAAAGAGAGAAUUUAGAAAAUGGAGGCAGUGAAGACGCUAUAGUAUUACAUCAUGGACACAUUCAAAUGCAGAUAUCAUGGCUUCAACACUUCCUGUACAUUCAAUGCUUCUGUCCACUCCUCCUUUCGUCAGAUCAGCAAUCACCUCUUGAACUGGUUUUUUGUGCUUUUUUGGGUUCACGAAUUCCGUCACACCAAACUUUUUCGCUGCAAACAACCAAGUUCAAAUUGAGAGAGGUCUCGAGAAUAUUUGUCAACGCAAAACAAAAGAUAAAUGAGAGAUUAUAGAAUUGUGUAUUUUACCUUCUUCAAAUUUGCUCGAAUUCAAAUCAACACCGAUAAUUCUUGAAGCACCAGACAACCUGGCUCCUUCGGCAGCCUAAAAACAGGAGGAUCGACUUAGACAAGCAUGUUUCAUCAUGCAUAUACAAGUGAGCAAGCAUGUGAAAGUGACUAAGAGACUCACUGCAAGGCCUACAGCUCCCAAUCCGAAAACAGCCACGGUUGAUCCCCUUUUCGGUUUUGCAACAUUUAGAGUAGCUCCGAGACCUAAACAACACACAUUCAAAAAAUACAUAAGAAAAUGAUGUCAGUUACAAAACUCGUAUCUGUUUGAACAAUUUGGCUCUAUGCUAAUAAACAAUUUACCUGUGGAGAUUCCACAACUGAGGAGACAGACUUUGUCUAGAGGCACCGAGGGAUUGAUCUUGGCAACGCAGCCAACAUGAACAACAGUGUACUCACUGAAGGUGGAUGUCCCAACAAAGUGGAAGAUAGGCUUCCCUUUGAUUGAAAAUCUUGAUUUGCCAUCACCGAGCAUCACUCCCCUGUCAGUGUUUAUCCUGAGGAGGUCACACAUGUUGCUCUCUUCUGAUUUGCAGUGAGCGCAGUCCUUGCAUUCCCCCAUGAAUACCGGCAGGACAUGGUCGCCAGCUUUCAGAUCCGUCACGCCCUCACCAACACUCUCCACAAUCCUAAAAGUAUUUGAUAAACCAUAAGUUGGUUGUUUGCUAUGACUCUUCCACUACAGAGUUGGUUCUUUGCUAUGACUCUUCCACUACAGAUGCUGCUGCUAAGAGUUGGGAAUAUACUCUUGUAUUAUCUCCUAUAUUUCGGGAUUUAUAUAGACUAGUUGGUUGUAAUCAGUUUGACUUGUAACUCUCUGAUGUAAUUCAUUCCUAUAAAUACAAACACACAACCUCUCUCAGAUUUAACUGAGUUGAGCAUCAUUAGUUCUUUUGUCCUUUAUACUCUUAUGCGUGCCUAACUCUCUUUCAGUAUUAACCAGCAAUCCGCAUAAAUUUUAAUUCACGAUCAAUGAUUCAGUUGCACAUCGUUUGCCUAUAUGUUCUAUUAAUUUAGUAACAAGAUGAUAGAAAUGUACAUACCCUCUUGCCUCAUGAUAUCGCCGAUAUUUUCGUUUUUUUUAGUUACCGAUAUUUUAUUAGGUAUCCAAUGAGUUUUCGUCAAAUAUCGCGAUAUUAUCUAAAUAUUGCGAUAUGAAAUCCAAAAAUAACUUAAAAUUGUUUAAAAAGUCUCAGUUUUGAAACUAGAGGGAUUCGAACCCCUCCCAUUUAACUCCUUAACGCCUUAACCACCAUAUCACUUAUGUUGUUGCGAUAAUAUGCCAAAAUAUUUAUAUAUAUGGUUUUGUUUUGAAUUCUUUUUACAAGAAACAAAUUUGCACAUAUUCCAAAUUUUUUGUGGUAUUAUAUUUUAAAUUGUGUCAAUUAAUUACUUAGUCAAUGGCAUGUGAUUUUUAAUUUUUCUAUUUUUUAUUUGGUGACUUACAUGGUAGGGUUGGAAAAAAUUCCCGAAAAUCCCAAACCGAAAAAUCCCAAACCAAAACCAUCCUGAAGUUUGGGAAUCCCAUCUUGAAAAAUACCGAAAUUUUCGAUAUGGGAUUGGUUUCCAAAUCCCAUUUGUUUGGUAAUCCCGAAAAAUACCGAAGUAUUCGGUUUCCUAUUGACUUUUGGGUUUUGGUUCUUGAAAACCAUUGCCAUGGUUGCUGACUACUUUUCACAAUACACUUACUCUACACAUAGAGAUGAUGACGAUAGUGAAAAAUUUGAACCUCAUAGGAACUCUAUGUGGUACUAAGUCACUCAUGUAUCUUACCGUACAAUGUAUAAAGUGUAAAAUAUUGUACUAAUUCAUUAUAUAUAAAUGAUUAUGGUGUGUUUAGACUUCUUUAAUUAAUUACUACAUAUUUUCUACACUCACAAUGUUUGUCAGCUCGCUAUAUAAUCAACUUGAUAAUGUUAAAUCCAUCAUGCAAUGCAUUUCCUUCCAAUUUUUUGUGAUAAACUAAUAGAUAAUUGACUAAAUAAACAUUCUGCAAAGUUUCAAUAAAAAUUUCCAAGUUUUUCUUACAAUUUCCUUGGUUUCCAUGUAAUUUUUAUCGAUAUCGAUAUUAUCCCGAUAUUUCCAUCGAUAUUUCCGUGUUUUCGAACUACCGAUAUUUCCGAUAUUACCAAUAUUUUCUUCCUUGCUCAUGACCAUAAAUUCUGGGAAAUAAAGGGUUUUGUCCCUGCAAUAUAGAAAAUCCAUUUUAGAUUAGGUGUUGUAAAUAUGUGAAUCUUGAAUCAAUAAAAUGAAAUAUGCUUAGAGUUAGACAAAAAAGAGCAAUGGACCAUUUUUCAAAUCCAAAUUACUGAAAUGAUCAGUUUUUGUUAUAUUGUCGAUAUUUGAUUUUGAUCAGUUCAAUAAUUGAAAUUCAGAAACAAUUAUUCUAACGAAUUUCUCAAAACAAUUUCAUACCUUGGCUUCCCAGAAGUAGACAUCAGUGUGGCACAAAGAGGUAAAAAGGAUCUUCAAGCGAACUUCAUUUGCUUGUGGGGGUGCCACCUCAACUUCUUCAACCACCAGUGGCUUCCCUGCUUCCCAAGCUACAGCAGCUACACAAACCAGAAAUAAUAAUAGAAUUAAUAAACCAAAAAUUAAUUAAGAAAUUUACUUAAUAAACAAUCUCAGAAACAAAAAGGAAAUUUACCUCUGCAGCGUAUGACCUGACCAGCAGUAUCAUACAUUCUUGCUUUGAAUCCAAUAAAAACUUGAUGAAACUGAGACUCUUAAAGCUCUUUGUAACAACAGUUUGAAGUGUUUAAUUUUUUGGCGUGGUGAGAAGUAAAGUCAACGUGUGGAUAUUUUCAUAUGGAUAAGUGCAAGUGGAGACCGAGGAGAAACCAAAACCAUUCCUUGAUUUCAAUUGAUAGGAGUUUAGUCCCUGGUUCUAUAUGCUGCAGCUUGCUACUAGGUACCGUUGGCCAAUACUUGGUAUAAGACUAUACUCUCCAAUUAAUUCAUUUUCUUUUCUUGCCGUUUUUUGAGAAUUCGUGGGUUUUGUGCAAAAUUUAUAAACGGCCCUUCCAUAAGAUGGCUUUUCAAAAAAAUAAAGGACAAUUUAUUAAUGGUAAAAAACAACAACUUAAGUCAAAACACACUUUAGGACUAACUAGUUGUAAUUCAGUUUAGGCUUUUUAACUAAAAUGGUUAUGAGAUUCGUAUAACUCCUCACCUUGGUCCUUGAGAUUUGAAAUAAAUAUAAGUGGUUCCUAAGUUUGUCCAUCAUAAAUCAUUUUGACCAUUCUGUGAAAAAUUAUGUUAAAUAAAGACCAAAAUAAUAAAAAUACCCUCACUUUAAUAAACAAUGGUUCAAAAUGAUUUGACAAAAAUUUGAGGGUAUUUUUGUCAUUAUCCUUAUUUAAUGGAGAUUUUUCGUAAAAUGACCAAAAUGAUUGAUGGUGGACAAACUCAAUACCACCUCUAUCGAUUUCAAAUCUCAAGGACCAAAGUGAGGAGUUAUGUCAAUUUCAGAGACCAUUUUGGCUAAAAACUCUUAAUUUUACAAAUGUUAUUAAAUAUUAAUUAUAAAAAGCUACAAACAUAACAUUCACUAUAUAAUCAAAAGCAAUUCAAUCUUAAACAACCAAACAAGUUUAAAAAAAAAAAAAAACUUCAAAAAAUCUAAAUUUAAAUUAUCACUUGAAUAUAUAGCAUUAUUAUGUAAAUAAAUUGAAAAAAAAAUCGUUUUUUAGGAUGUUGUUAUUGGCACUCCAAAAUCUUAUUAUGCACUCCAAAUUUUUAUAUUUACAUUGAAAAUUAUUACACUUAUAAGGAGUGCACAAUGAGAUUUUAUACUGCUAAUAAAAGCAAUUUUUUUAGGGAAUUCUUUUGAAAUGUUAUAUGAACUUCUACACAUUUUUCAAUUUGUUAUAUGAACUAACAUUUUAAGCAAUUUGUCAUUCCAACUUUCCAAAGUUAUUAAUUUGUCAUCUAAUCAUAACUUCGUUAAGUUUUCCGUCCAAAAUAAAUCACGUGCUUUGCAAUGACUUGUGUUUGGGUUAUUUCAGACAUUUCAACAUAAAAAAUAUCAUCCUAACUUUAUCCUAGAUUGGAGGGUCCCCAAUGACUAUAUUUUUUAGUCAUCUUCACUUCGAACACCGCGAGUGCAUGUCGUUCUCCUUUUCCGAAUAGCAAAUCCUUAGAUCCUCAUAUAUCAGAUCAACCCAUUUUUUUUGCAUUUUUUGAGAAAUCCUAGAAUUAUUUUUGUCGAAUGCAACUUAUUAGAAUGGGGUAAGAUGUUGAAAUGUUUGAAAUAACCCUAGACAUAGGUUAUGUACCUUGCACAUGACUAUGAUUAUAUUAUAGGGUUCAUAAAAUAUUAAUAUUAACAUGCACUCAGUUAAUACGUGAAUUAGUAACAUUGCAAUUUGCAGUGCCAAGUAUAACCGUGGCUCAAAUUGUUUUCGCUUUUUACUUGCACAUGGAAGUACCUUUCUUGAUUUUAAUUGGUGUUAGAGAAUUACCUAUUAGUCGACCAUAUGGCUGUUAUAAUUUUUUAAAAUACUACAAAUUAAACAGUCAGUUUAUGAAAUACAAGGCCAAAGAGGUUUAAAACUACAUAUAUUUUGCAGAAACAGCAACAGAUUGACUUGUGUUCUUUAUUUAUUGACAUAAAUGUCCAUAGAAACUGUCCAACAGAAGCAAACAGAUUCUCAUAUGCAUUAUAAGCAGAUCAAACUUGGACGAAAUCGAAAACAGAACAUCAAAGAUGAAGCCUUUUCAGUUUUCAUUCCUCCAUGUGGAUUAUGCAACGAAGAC
rnacentral:lncRNA from 1 species